ACAGCAGCAGCCGCGGUAAUACGGAGGGGGCUAGCGUUGUUCGGAAUUACUGGGCGUAAAGCGCACGUAGGCGGCUUGGUAAGUUAGAGGUGAAAGCCUGGAGCUCAACUCCAGAAUUGCCUUUAAGACUGCCGAGCUAGCAGGUGAGAGAGGUAAGUGGAAUUCCGAGUGUAGAGGUGAAAUUCGUAGAUAUUCGGAAGAACACCAGUGGCGAAGGCGGCUUACUGGCUCAUACUGGACGCUGAGGUGCGAAAGCGUGGGGAGCAAACAGGAUUAGAUACCCCCGUAGUCCCUGUCUCUUAUAC
rnacentral:rRNA from 1 species